AGUAACAGGCAGCUGCUGGUGCUGGAAGAAGCUCCCUGCUCAGGAGAUUUCCCUGGCUGUUGCCAAGUAAGGCACAGGAGUUCUCAUGACACCAAGCCACGCCACAGCAGUGGGAGGUCACAAGUGAGGGCUUUCAUGCAGAAUGCCAAUGGGCUACCCUUCAGGGUAGCUUCACCAAUGGGUGAAGCUUCAGUUUGUGCUGUGUCGGUAGAUGAAAUACUCGCUCUCCCAGAGUGCUCCAUGUGAAUUCUCAGUGCUGCUUCAUCCUCACCACCUGGCCUGUGUGUGAUGGACUUAAGGCCUGUGUGCAGCUGCCCUGUGGGGUCUGUAUUGAUUUUGGAGCUCCAGGCUGGUACUUGGAGAUCUACAUAACAAGCAGCAGCAUCCAGAUGACGAACAGGUCAUUCCCGCUCCUUAAGGCACGGUGUCUCUUUGUGCAGAUCCUCCUGCUCUUCCUUGCCACACUCGAGGAGGAGCAGACAUGACUUUACUUCCUGAGUACUGCCACCUUCAGCCAGAACUUGAACAGACACCUUUUGAUUUGCACCUGGUAGUGGAACAACAGCCAUUGGAUUGACAAUGUUUCUGCCAGUCUCCUCAGCUGUCUUCUAAUAGUGGUUUGAUAUGGAGGAAUGAACAGGUGGCAUUUCACGGCAUUCCUUGAUAUACAGAAAUGAGCAGGGAGCUUUUCACACAGCAGGCUUUACCAUGAAUUUACUGCGAGACUGUACUGUGAGUUCGAAGUUGCCCAAAAAAACCAAUGCAAUUUUUUUUUUUAACCCUGGAUAUAAACCAGGCUACAUUCUAAUGCACAAUGAAAAACCUGAAUCUUGUGUGAAGUGCUCCCCAAUAGCUCACAGGGACUUUGGGGUAAAUCUGGCCAAUAUGUGAACGUACCCCCUUCAUUCCGAAAGAGAUGCCAGCUAAAAGCCCUGUGUGAAAAACAUCCAGGUAAAACAGUUCAUGGCAUGGAAGUAAACAUUAUCAUCUACUAAUUGCUACAUAGAGAAUUGCUGUUGAAAUCACAUUGGUUUUGGUUGGUUGACAAGACCACAGAAGAGAGAGAAAAGGGGCAGCAUUGUCCUCUUCAGUUUCCAAUAUGGCUGUACCGCCAAGAGCCCAUAGGUUCUCCUGGACCUCGCAUGGCUAUAAAUGCUUCCAAGUGAAGCGCAGCCUAGGCCUUUGCCUGGAUAACCGCUACCUUCUGCUUUAACCACGUCCUACUCUCUUUUUAUCACGGCUUUCCUGCAUGCAGCCCUCCUUCCAUCUCUCUGUCUGCUUGCUUCUGUCCUAGUCUUCCUGACCUUUUAUCUGUCUUUCCACCUGCAGUUUUCCUGCAUCCUUGUUCUGCUCUCCCUUGGGCAGAUACCUUGGCUUGGACUCUAAUCCAUUAUUGCCUCUGACUGGGCCCUCCUAUGCUCCUGUUCUCUGGACCUGGUUUCUAAGUUCUGUUCAGGUGCUUGAGUAGGACCUGUCUCAGAGCUUCCUCUACAUGGUCCACUGCCUGAGCCCCCCAGUGCUGACAAGUACCGUACAGCAAUAUGAGAACAUGUUCCAGAGAUCUCAGUCUUACAGAUUAGAGCCCCUCCAUGGGCUAGUAGUGAAUGGUAUAUUUUGGAGUCAGUUUCUAAUGUUAUGUUUUUCAUGUUAUAUUUUGGACAUAGUUUAAAGCUAUUUUCCAGUUAAGAAGAGCUGCAAGGGAGAUGAAAGGAAAGAACAGAGGGUUGGGUGAUUGACUGUUGUACCUUUUUCAUUGGUUGCUCAGAAGCUAGGGAUGACUUUUAUUUUCAGAUGCUUGGUUUGGGGCAUCGUUUUCUCUCUCUCUCUCUCUUUAAGUUGUAUGUACUCUUUGUAUACCUGAACGGUAAGAGGAAGCAGAGCUCCCAGCUCUAUUAUCGG